AAAUUGAAGAGUUUGAUCAUGGCUCAGAUUGAACGCUGGCGGCAGGCCUAACACAUGCAAGUCGAGCGGUAGCACAGAGAGCUUGCUCUCGGGUGACGAGCGGCGGACGGGUGAGUAAUGUCUGGGAAACUGCCUGAUGGAGGGGGAUAACUACUGGAAACGGUAGCUAAUACCGCAUAAUGUCGCAAGACCAAAGUGGGGGACCUUCGGGCCUCAUGCCAUCAGAUGUGCCCAGAUGGGAUUAGCUAGUAGGUGGGGUAACGGCUCACCUAGGCGACGAUCCCUAGCUGGUCUGAGAGGAUGACCAGCCACACUGGAACUGAGACACGGUCCAGACUCCUACGGGAGGCAGCAGUGGGGAAUAUUGCACAAUGGGCGCAAGCCUGAUGCAGCCAUGCCGCGUGUGUGAAGAAGGCCUUCGGGUUGUAAAGCACUUUCAGCGGGGAGGAAGGCGUUAAGGUUAAUAACCUUGGCCGAUUGACGUUACCCGCAGAAGAAGCACCGGCUAACUCCGUGCCAGCAGCCGCGGUAAUACGGAGGGUGCAAGCGUUAAUCGGAAUUACUGGGCGUAAAGCGCACGCAGGCGGUCUGUCAAGUCGGAUGUGAAAUCCCCGGGCUCAACCUGGGAACUGCAUUCGAAACUGGCAGGCUAGAGUCUUGUAGAGGGGGGUAGAAUUCCAGGUGUAGCGGUGAAAUGCGUAGAGAUCUGGAGGAAUACCGGUGGCGAAGGCGGCCCCCUGGACAAAGACUGACGCUCAGGUGCGAAAGCGUGGGGAGCAAACAGGAUUAGAUACCCUGGUAGUCCACGCCGUAAACGAUGUCGAUUUGGAGGUUGUGCCCUUGAGGCGUGGCUUCCGGAGCUAACGCGUUAAAUCGACCGCCUGGGGAGUACGGCCGCAAGGUUAAAACUCAAAUGAAUUGACGGGGGCCCGCACAAGCGGUGGAGCAUGUGGUUUAAUUCGAUGCAACGCGAAGAACCUUACCUGGUCUUGACAUCCACAGAACUUUCCAGAGAUGGAUUGGUGCCUUCGGGAACUGUGAGACAGGUGCUGCAUGGCUGUCGUCAGCUCGUGUUGUGAAAUGUUGGGUUAAGUCCCGCAACGAGCGCAACCCUUAUCCUUUGUUGCCAGCGGUCCGGCCGGGAACUCAAAGGAGACUGCCAGUGAUAAACUGGAGGAAGGUGGGGAUGACGUCAAGUCAUCAUGGCCCUUACGACCAGGGCUACACACGUGCUACAAUGGCAUAUACAAAGAGAAGCGACCUCGCGAGAGCAAGCGGACCUCAUAAAGUAUGUCGUAGUCCGGAUUGGAGUCUGCAACUCGACUCCAUGAAGUCGGAAUCGCUAGUAAUCGUAGAUCAGAAUGCUACGGUGAAUACGUUCCCGGGCCUUGUACACACCGCCCGUCACACCAUGGGAGUGGGUUGCAAAAGAAGUAGGUAGCUUAACCUUCGGGAGGGCGCUUACCACUUUGUGAUUCAUGACUGGGGUGAAGUCGUAACAAGGUAACCGUAGGGGAACCUGCGGUUGGAUCACCUCCUUACCUUAAAGAA
rnacentral:rRNA from 1 species